CAACAAUCGGCAUGGAACUGGGAUAUUCUUAUCAAAGGGCUGUGAAUGCAGGAAAAUGACUGAAUAUUACUUAGUCAACAACACUGGGUUAUGAAGAAUUCCAGCCUGCAUUAAAUACUAUGUUGGAUCCUUGAGAGCGGAUUUGACAGCCAUGUCCAUCCACAAGGCAGUCGCAUCUGAUCGAGAUGAUCACUAAACAUUCUUGAUGGGUAAAGUGCCUGAAGGUGCAUGAAAACCAAAUCAGCAUUGACUCAGCAUUGAGUAGUUAUCAUCUGUGCACACACUACAAGAACAAGCAUGGGAACAGACCAAACUUCAAAUGUUGAAAAGUGAAGAAUUAUUGUGAAAAAAAAACUAAUUGUUGGAAUACCAAUGACAAAAUAAAACAGAUAUACAUCA